UACGUAGGGGGCGAGCGUUGUCCGGAGUACUGGGCGUAAAGCGCACGCAGGCGGUCUGCUAAGUUUGGAGUGACAGUUGGUGGCUUAACUGCCAAAGUGCUUCGAAAACUGACAGACUUGAGGGCUUCAGAGGGACACGGAAUUCCGGGUGUAGCGGUGGAAUGGCGUAGAGAUCCGGAAGAACACCGGUGGCGAAGGCGGCCUGCUGGGCAGUAGCUGACACUGAGGCGCGACAGCGUGGGGAGCAAACAGG
rnacentral:rRNA from 1 species